rnacentral:rRNA from 1 species
AUUUUUUAUCUUGCUAAUUUGUAUUAAUGAGGAGGGUUAUGUUUGGAAAAUAAUUUAUUAAAGUGAUUAGGAGUAAUUAUUCAUGAAUUAAAAUUAUAAUGGCUAUAGAAUAAAGUACUGUAAAGGAAGGAUUUAAUAAGUAAGGAGGAAAGUAAAAAUUUAUUUUUGUACCUUGUGUAUCAGGGGUAAUUUAUAUAAUAUUAAAUAUUAUUAAAAAUCUCGAAAUAAAAAUAGCUAGUUUUAUAAAGGAGUCUUUGUAGUAUAAAAGUUUGUAAUAUAAAGUUAGAAGUGAGAUGUUAAUCGAGUUUUAUGAUAUCUAGUUCUUUAAGAAAUAAAUAUAAUUUAGUUUUUAUAAAUAAUAUAAUAUAAAAGGAAAGAGUAGAAGGGAAAGCUUUUUAUUUAGAGAAUAGCUGAAUAAAAUAUAUGGAUUUAUCUAAGCUUAGAAGUAGCUAUGUUAAUAAAGUGUUUUAACUAAAGAUUAAUAUAAUAAUAUUUUUAUUAGGGUUUCUAAGGGGUAUUAAGGAUCUAUCAGGAAUUAUUUAUGAUAAGGUAAAAUGAUUUUAUUAGUAGAAAUUUAUUAUGUUAGGAUAAAGAAUAAAAUAAUAAGAAAGUUUAUACAGGGGAGUGGUAAUAUAAAGGAAUUCGGCAAAUAAAAUUCUUUGCCUGUUUAUCAAAAACAUGUCUGUUUGGAGCUAUAGAGAGUCUAACCUGCCCACUGACAUAGGUAUUAAAGGGCCGCAGUAUUAUAACUGUGCAAAGGUAGCAUAAUCAUUAGGUUUUUAAUUGGAAUCUUGAAUGAAUGGUUGGACAAAAGGAGCACUGUCUUUAUAUUAAAUUUUGAAUUUAACUUUUAAGUGAAAAGGCUUAAAUAAUCUAAGGGGACGAUAAGACCCUAUAAAACUUUACAUUAGGAUUAGAUUUAGUUGAAUUUAGUUAUAAAGAUUUAAUUUAAUUAUUUGUUAUAUUGGGGAGAUAUAAGUAAACAUUUUAUUAACUGCUUAUUGAUUAAACAUUUACUAAUGGGAGUAAUAGAUCCUUGUUAAAGAUUAUUGAAUUAAGUUACUUUAGGGAUAACAGCGUUAUUUUUUUUGAGAGUUCGUAUCGAAAAAAAAGGUUGCGACCUCGAUGUUGAAUUAAAAUAUCUAUAUAAUGGAGCGGUUAUAUAGGAAGGUCUGUUCGACCUUUAAAAUUUUACAUGAUUUGAGUUCAAACCGGCGUGAGCCAGGUUGGUUUCUAUCUUUUAGACUAUCAAAGUUAUUUUAGUACGAAAGGAGUAAAUAAUUGAAAUAAUUUUUAAGGUUAUU